CUGAAAGCAUCUAAGCGGGAAGCCUCCCUCAAGACGAGAUCUCCCUGGGGCCUUGUGCCCCCUAAAGUGCCGUUCGAGACCAGGACGUUGAUAGGCUGGGUGUGUAAGGGUUGUGAGGCCUUGAGCUAACCAGUACUAAUUGCACGUGAGGCUUGACCAUAUAAUCGCAGGUUUUUUA
rnacentral:rRNA from 1 species